rnacentral:rRNA from 1 species
CCUACGGGCGGCUGCAGUGAGGAAUAUUGGUCAAUGGACGGAAGUCUGAACCAGCCAUGCCGCGUGCAGGAAGACGGCUCUAUGAGUUGUAAACUGCUUUUGUACAAGGGUAAACCUGAAUACGUGUAUUCAGCUGAAAGUACUGUACGAAUAAGGAUCAGCUAACUCCGUGCCAGCAGCCGCGGUAAUACGGAGGAUCCAUGCGUUAUCCGGAUUUAUUGGGUUUAAAGGGUGCGUAGGCGGAUUGAUAAGUUAGAGGUGAAAUGUCCGAGCUUAACUCGGGAACUGCCUCUAAUACUGUUGAUCUAGAGAGUAGAUGCGGUAGGCGGAAUGUAUGGUGUAGCGGUGAAAUGCUUAGAGAUCAUACAGAACACCGAUUGCGAAGGCAGCUUACCAAUCUAUAUCUGACGUUGAGGCACGAAAGCGUGGGGAGUAAACAGGAUUAGAUACCCGGGUAGUC